GUGCCAGCAGCCGCGGUAAUACGUAGGUGGCAAGCGUUAUCCGGAAUUAUUGGGCGUAAAGCGCGCGUAGGCGGUUUUUUAAGUCUGAUGUGAAAGCCCACGGCUCAACCGUGGAGGGUCAUUGGAAACUGGAAAACUUGAGUGCAGAAGAGGAAAGUGGAAUUCCAUGUGUAGCGGUGAGAUGCGCAGAGAUAUGGAGGAACACCAGUGGCGAAGGCGACUUUCUGGUCUGUAACUGACGCUGAUGUGCGAAAGCGUGGGGAUCAAACAGGAUUAGAU
rnacentral:rRNA from 1 species